CGAAGCUGUGCGGGCCCCGGAUCCUCUGGCUAACCGUCCGGAUAACCAACAGGACAGACAGACAGAGACAUUGCAAUAUAAGAUUAAGUAACUUUGCCAAUGCCUCACAGCAAGGUGGUGGAGGAUCCAAGAUGCAAGCCUAAGACCCGAACAGCCUCCAUAUUCAGGCCAGUCUGCCGGGAAGAGCAUUGGUUUCAGAAUUCCAGGAGGGGGCUACAACCUGGUAUGACCCCCUCUGGCCAAACACAUCAGCUCUUGAGCAUUCUACCUGCCUGGGCUGUAUGAUGCUCGGAGGGGCUUGAUCUGGCCUCUGUGCCUGUCUUAUGCCCUGGGCUUUCCAAGAUCAUGUAGCUCUUCCCACAGGAUAACUUAGACUCCUGUGCCUGAUAAAGGGUCCUGGGAUACCUACUGAUUCCUAGAAUGGCAUGUAUGAGCUCAGACUGAGACUAACCUAAUUUCCUAGUGUAUUCUUUUAUAUCUAGAAUAUCUAACAGCAGGUUCUAAGUCUCUUGGAUGACCCAAUCCUGCUUAAUUUUCACGGGUCCUAAGAUAAAAGAAACGGAGGGGGACUAACCACGGAAGCGCAGGGAGUCGUGAUGGUCACCGGGUGAGCGCAAUUUAAUUUGUGCCUCGCCCCCAUCCAUCACGUUGCAUUAAUUGUGUUAUUUUGAAUUUGCUGGUUUCAUAGCUCUGGAUUGAAGUGUUAUAUUUUAUUUGCUUUUUC
ensembl:processed_transcript Gm14204 predicted gene 14204